rnacentral:lncRNA from 1 species
GUAAAUAUAAGUAAAAUUUGUUAAUUUUCUUUUUUUAAGAUCAAAGAAGAAUUCAAAGGAUUGACACCUACAGAUGUGGAGUCUACCUUCAUUGAACAUUUGGACAAUUACACAGAACAGCUCGUCCAUUUAUUUCACAAAAAGGGGGGAAGUGCAGGAUGCAAAAUCUGUGAUGUGAUGAAAUUGCUGGAGCAGUGUGGACAUUCUCUAGGAGGUGGUGAUAUGCUGUCUGACUGUGUACCUUUCUAAGAACCUUGAAAAUCUGAUUACACAUUACCUGGACACCUGUGGGGAAACGGACCAGCUGGACAUUGGAGAGCACAUACCAAAAACUGUGACCAUACGCACACAUUCAGUACAUUACGGACAAUUUAGCCUACCCAAUUUACCUAUACCGCAUGUCUUUGGACUUAUGGGGGCAAUCGGAGCACCUGGAAGAAACCCACAUCAACACGGGGAGAACAUGAAAACUCUGCACAGAAACACCAACUGACCCAGCCAGGGCUCGAACCAGCGUCCUUCUUGCUGUGAGGUAAUUGUGCUGAGUGUUUGACAAGCACAGCUUUGAACGCUUUUUUUAAGAAUACUCUUGAAACAGUUUUUGAAAUAUUGUUUCUAUUAAAGCAGUACAUAUAAAAAAAA